CUCUCGGCAAUGGAUAUCUCGGCUCUUGCAUCGAUGAAGAACGUAGUGAAAUGCGAUACUUGGUGUGAAUUGCAGAAUCUCGUGAACCAUUGAGUCUUUGAACGCAAGUUGUGCCCGAGGCCUUCUGGUCGAGGGCACGCCUGCUUGGGCGCCAUGGC
rnacentral:rRNA from 1 species